UCGAGAAUCUUCCACAAUGGACGCAAGUCCGAUGGAGCGACGCCACGUGCGGGAAGAAGGCCUUCGGGUUGUAAACCGCUGUUGAAGGGGAUGAAGACCCAAAGGGUACACUCUUUGGGUUUGACAGAGCCUUUGAGGAAGCGCGGGCUAAGUACGUGCCAGCAGCCGCGGUAACACGUACUGCGCGAGCGUUAUUCGGAAUCACUGGGCGUAAAGGGUGCGUAGGCGGCCCGAUUAGCCAGAUGUGAAAUCCCACCGCCCAACGGUGGAACUGCAUUUGGAACUGUCGGGCUUGAGCGAUCUAGGGGUGAGCGGAACUUCCGGUGGAGCGGUGAAAUGUGUUGAGAUCGGAAGGAACACCAAUAGCGAAAGCAGCUCACUGGGGAUUGUCUGACGCUGAGGCACGAAAGCUAGGGGAGCGAACGGGAUUAGAUACCCCCGUAGUCC
rnacentral:rRNA from 1 species